rnacentral:misc_RNA from 1 species
AUGGUCUGGCAGGCUCCGUGCUUCGGCAUCGAACUGUUGGCUCCAUACCCCUCGUCAGUGAUGCAACAAGAUUUUCUUGUGCUAGCAACGGAUUCCUGUUUUGGCUACCUAUUGUAACGGAAUGGCGCUUCUCGAUGUCCCUUUCCUUCUCUCGCCCUCUCAGGGCUGUAGGAGGACACUGUAGCGGCUCUCGUGUCCCGAUCAAGCCAUGCAUUGUCGUGAGAUUGUGACGGUCCACGAGUUGUUGCUCGACUUCUCGGAUGCGGAACAUAAAGCCGACGUUGGGGGUCUUUGACCCUCGAUUGUCCAAUCGAUAGCCUUUGUCGCUUUACACGCACGACAGCCGCGCUCGCUGAGAGCUCCUCCGGCCCACAAGGUCGUUGGUUCUUGCACGGGCGUCGGCGUCGGAAAGGAAUGCUACCUGGUU